GGGACUACAGGCGCCCGCCACCAUGCACGGCUAAUUUUUUGUGUUUUCAGUAGGACAGGGUUUCACCGUAUGAACCAGGAUCUCCUGACUUCGUGAUCCGCCCACCUCGGCCUCCCAACGGGCUGGAAUUACUGAUACUGUUGUGGCUGUUCUAGGCAGUUUGUUUUUCCAUAUUGAAACAAAGAAACUUGCUGAGAUUUUUAUUGUAAUUACUUUGUCUGCAUAUUGAUUUGGAAUUAACUUUGGAAUAAUAUUGGAUAUUACAAGCCAUGGAAAAUGUUACAAUGUCAUUGCUACAUGAAGAGAAGAUCAAGAGAAUUCAGCCAGAAGACUGUAGAAACAAAGAUAUAACAGUUUUGGAUUAUUGCUUGCUCUUGAAAUGUGUUGUUUCAAAGGAACACAUUAUUUUGGACAUGCAAUCAGAUGAAACAUUAAAGGAGAGAAGCCUGAAGAACAAAGCAGCCACAGAUCAACAGGAGUAUAGUUUAUUAGAGGUUGGUUAGAGACUUUUUGCUAAUGAGCUGUACUGUCCAUAGGCAUCAUCAUGGGGUUCUCAAAUCUAAUGAUACCCAUGCCAUCAAUUCUGAGUAAAGUGGUUACAAAAGAAACUGAUAUUUAAUUUUUACUAUAAUAGAAAAUGGCAUGUAUAUGUGUCUUAAUUCAUUCAGUAGAUGCAACAUAGGGUAGUGGAAUGAUCACUUUCCUGUAUAAUUAAUUGUAAGAGCUAGAGUUCAUAUAAUCACUAAUUAUUAAAAUAAAAAUAUUCUAUCUCAAAAAUAGCAUUACCAUAGCUUUUGUGGCUUUCUAUUAAUGAGUUAUUUUCUCAAUUUUUAUAUGUUUCAAAUCUUCAAUAACAAUCAGAGCUGAAAUAAUAAACACUGGCUAUUAUUGUUCUAAUAAAUAAAAUGGUUAUUUUUGCAUAAUGAGUAAGAACGUAACCAUUGGAGUCAGACAGGAGGAGUUGCUUAUUUGAGUUAUGACAUUUACUGGCCAUGCUACCUCAAAGAAAUUAGACAUUCUGAACCUCAGCCUCUUUAUCCAUAAAAUAGAAUAAUAAUAGUAGCUACUUCUUGGGAUCACUGAUAGGGAUGGUAGGUUUAAAUGGCACAGUGAAUUCAAGAAAGUAUUUGGGACAAUGUCUGAUAAUUAGUAAAUGCUCCAGAGUCCUAGUAUUUUUUGUUAUUAUUAAAAAAAAUACUGUAACUCACAAUAGACAUUAAAGGAAAGAGCACACAACAUGAGGAUAAGUUUAACAAACAGUGAUAAAAAAGUCAAUACCAGUGUCAAGAAAAAGCACAGCUAGGUCAAGAAAGAGAACCCUGAUUGCAACCAAGGAGCCUUUGCUUGCGCCAUCCUCAUCACAACUUUAUCUCUCCCCUUUAGCAUUAGCAAGUAUCCUGAAUUGCAUGAAAAUCAUUUCCUUGCAUUAUUUUAAAAUUUUACUACCCACAUGUAUUUCUAAGCAAUAUUGCCUGUUUUUGACCUUUAUACAGUAAAGUCAUCUCAAAAGUCAACAAUGGAAAAACAGAAAUAUCUAAUUAGAAAACGGACAAAAUAAGUUAAGAUAUUUCACUGAAGAGGAUAUAGAGAUUACCAAUAAGCAUAUGAAAAGGUGUUCAACAUCACUAACCAAUAGGGAAUUAAAAAUUAAGUCCAUUAUGAGAUAUCAUUACACAACUAUUAGAAUAGCUAAAACUUAAAAAGUAGUGACUAGCAAAUUUGAGUGAAGAUGUUUAUAAACUGGAUCUCUCAUAUUUUAUAGGUUCAAAUGUAAAGUAAUACAGCUUAUCAAUUUAUUAAAAAUUAAACAUACUCUUAUACAACCCAGCAAUUGUACUACAUUUAUUCCAGGAGAAUGAAAACUUAUAUCCACACGAAAACCUGUACAUGAUUGCUCACAGUAGCUUUGUUACCGCCCAAAACUGAAAACAAUCUGGAUAUCAUUCAAAGUGUGAAUAAUUAAAUAAAAUAUGGUAUAUUCAUACCAUAGAAUACUACUCAGUAGUAGAAAGGAAUAAACUACAACAACUUGGAUGGAUCUUAAAUGUAUUGGGCUGAGUGAAAAAGCCAAUUUCUAAAGGUUAUAUGCUAUUUAUAUUACAUUCUCAAAAAUGACAAAAUAAUAUACAUAAAAUACAGAUUAAUAGCCACCAAGGAUUAGGGAUAAUAGAAGGGAUAGAAAUGAGUGUGACUUUAAGGGAGUAGUAUGAGGAAGAUCUUUGUGGUGAUGGAAUGGUUCUGUAUCUUUGAUUGUAGUAAUUAUUACACAACUGUAAAUGACAUAGAAAUAUAUACCUACAUCAUACUAAUGUUAACUUCUGAGUUUUGAUGUUGUACUACAGUAAUGUAAGAUGUAAUAAAAAUUGAG
rnacentral:lncRNA from 10 species